GACGAACGCUGGCGGCGUGCCUAAUACAUGCAAGUAGAACGCUGAAGCAGGAGCUUGCUUCUCUGCAUGAGUUGCGAACGGGUGAGUAACACGUAGGUAACCUGCCCUGUAGCGGGGGAUAACUUUUGGAAACGAUAGCUAAUACCGCAUAAUAGUUGAUGUCGCAUGACAUUUGCUUAAAAGGUGCAAUUGCUUCACUACCAGAUGCACCUUCGUCGUAUUAGCUUGUUGUUGAGGCAACUGCCCACCAAGGCAACGAUACAUAACCGACCUGAGAGGGGGAUCAGCCAGACUGGGAACGUGACAGGGCCCAGCCGACUUCGGGAGGCACCAGGAGGGAAUCGUCAGCAAGGGAUGGAAGACUGAACAAGCAACGCCGCGGCAGUGAACAAGGAUUUCGCAUCGGGAAGCUCGGUCGUCAGGGAAGAAAGAGUGUGAGAGUGGAAAGAAGACCCUGUGACGGUAACUGAUCAGAAAGGGACGGCUAACUACGUG
rnacentral:rRNA from 1 species